rnacentral:rRNA from 1 species
GGGCCCGCACAAGCGGUGGAGUAUGUGGUUUAAUUCGAUGCAACGCGAAGAACCUUACCAGGGUUUGACAUCCUGCGAAUCUCUUGGAAACGAGAGAGUGCCUUCGGGAACGCAGUGACAGGUGGUGCAUGGCUGUCGUCAGCUCGUGUCGUGAGAUGUUGGGUUAAGUCCCGCAACGAGCGCAACCCACGUCUUUAGUUGCCAGCAUUUAGUUGGGCACUUUAAAGAGACUGCCGGUGAUAAACCGGAGGAAGGUGAGGACGACGUCAAGUCAGCAUGCCCCUUACGCCCUGGCUACACACGUGCUACAAUGGUAGGUACAGAGGGAAGCCACCCCGCGAGGGGAGCGGA